rnacentral:rRNA from 1 species
GUAGUGAAACGACGCAUCGCCGAUGGUAGUGUGGAGCUUCUCCAUGUGAGAGUAGGUCAUCGUCAAGA